rnacentral:rRNA from 1 species
CAGCCGCCACGGUAAUACGAAGGGGGCUAGCGUUGCUCGGAAUGACUGGGCGUAAAGGGCGCGUAGGCGGCUCAUACAGUCAGGCGUGAAAGUCCUGGGCUCAACCUGGGGUGGUCGCUUGAGACGUGUGGGCUAGAGUGGGGAAGAGGGUCGUGGAAUUCCCAGUGUAGAGGUGAAAUUCGUAGAUAUUGGGAAGAACACCGGUGGCGAAGGCGGCGACCUGGUCCUUUUACUGACGCUGAGGCGCGAAAGCGUGGGGAGCAAACAGGAUUAGAUACCCCAGUAGUCCCUGUCUCUUAUA